AAAGAAGCGAUCUCAUUGGUUGCUCUGGGCAACUCAGCAACUUUUCUUCUGCACAGGUUUUGAUAAAUCUUCCCAUCAUUUCUAGGGAGAGAUUGAGGCAACCAGCUUCUACAUACGGAUACUUACACCUAUGGUGAUUACCUGAAUUGACAUGACUGGGCUGUGUCAGAUCCAUCUCUCUUAUGCAGAUCAUUACCAAGCAGAUGUGGAAGAGCCAGCACACAGGAAGAUACCACAUUGUACCUUUAACAAAAAUAAAAACAUGUAAUCUCGAGAACGGGGGUCCCUUGUCUACCGAGUGAAUGAAGCGGCUGUCAAGCAUGUUAUAUGGGAAUGCUGAAGACAACUGUCAUCCUCACCUGGAAUUUGGUCCAAGCUGAAGUUAUCACUAAAAACGCAUGAGGAGACCAUAAGGUGGCCCAAUGACACAGCCUGGAGGUGGCAGCAGCAUGAGAAGACCAUAAUGUGGCAGAAUGACCCAGCCUGGAGGUGGUAACAGCCUGACGAGACCAUAGGGCCUUACAGUUGAAAU